UCAGCACCCCGAGUGGUCGGGACGAUUAUUGGGCCUAAAGCAUCCGUAGCCGGUUUUACAAGUCCUCCGUUAAAUCCAACUGCUUAACAGAUGGGCCGCGGAGGAUACUAUAAGACUAGGAGGCAGGAGAGGCAAGCGGUACUCAGUGGGUAGGGGUAAAAUCCGUUGAUCCAUUGAAGACCACCAGUGGCGAAGGCGGCUUGCCAGAAUGCGCUCGACGGUGAGGGAUGAAAGCUGGGGGAGCAAACCGGAUUAGAUACCCGGGUAGUCCCAGCUGUAAACGAUGCAGACUCGGUGAUGGACUAGCUUCAUGCUAGUCCAGUGCCGCAGGGAAGCCGUUAAGUCUGCCGCCUGGGUAGUACGGUCGCAAGACUG
rnacentral:rRNA from 1 species